rnacentral:rRNA from 1 species
GAACGCUGGCGGCGUGCCUAAUACAUGCAAGUCGAGCGAACAGACGAGGAGCUUGCUCCUCUGACGUUAGCGGCGGACGGGUGAGUAACACGUGGAUAACCUACCUAUAAGACUGGGAUAACUUCGGGAAACCGGAGCUAAUACCGGGUAAUAUAUUGAACCGCAUGGUUCAAUAGUGAAAGACGGUUUUGCUGUCACUUAUAGAUGGAUCCGCGCCGCAUUAGCUAGUUGGUAAGGUAACGGCUUACCAAGGCAACGAUGCGUAGCCGACCUGAGAGGGUGAUCGGCCACACUGGAACUGAGACACGGUCCAGACUCCUACGGGAGGCAGCAGUAGGGAAUCUUCCGCAAUGGGCGAAAGCCUGACGGAGCAACGCCGCGUGAGUGAUGAAGGUCUUCGGAUCGUAAAACUCUGUUAUUAGGGAAGAACAAAUGUGUAAGUAACUAUGCACGUCUUGACGGUACCUAAUCAGAAAGCCACGGCUAACUACGUG